rnacentral:rRNA from 1 species
CAGCCGCCACGGUAAUACGUAGGUGGCAAGCGUUGUCCGGAAUUAUUGGGCGUAAAGGGCUCGCAGGCGGUUUCUUAAGUCUGAUGUGAAAGCCCCCGGCUCAACCGGGGAGGGUCAUUGGAAACUGGGAAACUUGAGUGCAGAAGAGGAGAGUGGAAUUCCACGUGUAGCGGUGAAAUGCGUAGAGAUGUGGAGGAACACUAGUGGCGAAGGCGACUCUCUGGUCUGUAACUGACGCUGAGGAGCGAAAGCGUGGGGAGCGAACAGGAUUAGAUACCCGGGUAGUCCCUGUCUCUUAUAU